AAUACACAGGACAAAACAAUAAAUACACAGGACAAUAAAUACACAGAACAAUAAAUACACGGGACAAAACCAUAAAUACACAGGACAAUAAAUACACAGGACAAAACAAUACACAGGACAAUAAAUAUACAGGACAAUAAAUACACAGGACAAAACAAUAAAUACACAGGACAAUACAAUAAAUACACAGGACAAUAAAUACACAGGACAAUAAAUAUACAGAACAAUAAAUACACAGGACAAUAAAUACACAGAACAAUAAAUACACGGGACAAAACAAUAAAUACACAGGACAUGGGCUAUAAAUUGAGACGAGUCUAUAAUUAUGAAUUAGACAGGUUAGAUUAGAGUCUAAUUAACGAACCCGAACACAUACGCGGACAUUUUGAACUCGGAAAUUUUUCCAAGUACAGUUGAGUCGGCAGCAUGUGUAACAUGAAAAUAAAUAAAUAAAUAAAUAAAUAACACAUAAUAAAUAAAUAGCGACAUGAAACUAAGAUAACAAGAAAUGAAUGAAUGAAUGAAUGAAUGAAUGUCUCCCUGCCUGACCAGUGCAAGUAAUAGACUCUAUGCACGAUCGCUUCUAUAUUUUGUCUCAGCCAGCUCAGUUACUUCCGGUGCUGCGCCGGAAGCCAGUUUCGGUGUUGGUGAUAAUGGUGAGAAGAUGGCGCCGGAGAGUACGACUUAUUUACACUGACUGUUUACAAGAACUUCCCCAGAUUACCGUGAAUAACCUUAAUCGCACCGUGAGGCAGUCAGCUGUUACACCCGACAGUAAGAAGGAGAAGGCCUUCAAAUGAUAUAUUUCGAGUUUGAUGGUGAGUAUUCUCAUACUGUAUCCGACUAGCGAAUCUAUCUGAGUCUCCGUUUGACAGUUCAUACCCGUCUUUGCAUUAUUUGUAGGGAUGCACCGAAUGUUCGGCAACCGAAAUUAUUCAGCCGAAAAUAGCAAUAAAUAAAUAAAUAAAUAAAUAAAUAAAAUAAAGUAUUUUCGGUGUUCGGCCGAAUAAAUUUGACCCGAACAAUGACGUGUUUGAUGACGCGACCAAAUAGCUUAGCAACCAGAGUGAGACGCGCGAAUGUCAUGACCUCGAUGAGGGGGCGCGCGCAUGCACGAGCCGUGGAUACGUGCGUUUGUUUUGUUUCUGUUCCGGAGCAUGUUUCUGUCACGUCGCGAGACUUAAGGGAGUAGAGUACGGAAGCAGGAUCGACACAAACUGAGUUCAGAGCGCGAUCUCUGUGGAAGAUUCUGAAAUGCCUUCUCAAGAGCAGAACUACUGUGGGAAUCGUAAGAGACAACAUGCCGAGCCUCUGCGUCAGGUUGUGCAGAAGAGGAAAAGGGAACUGGAAGACAGUGACGUUGUAAACGCUGCUGUGCUUCCAGAACGCCAUAGAAAACCAGCCACGUGUAUUGAUUGUCCUGUGUAUUUAUUGUCCAGUGUAUUUGUUUUGUCCUAUCUAUUUAUUGGGGAAGUGGUGGAUCAGUGGUUAAAGGCUCUGGGUGACUGAUCAGAAGGUCAGAAGUUCAAGCCUCAGCACUGCUAAGAUACCACUGUUGGGCCCUUGAGCAAGGCCCCUAACCCUCAACUGCUCAGAUGUAUAAAUGAGAUAAAUGUAAGUCGCUCUGGAUAAGGGCGUCGGCCAAAAUGCCAUAAAUGUAAAUAUUGUUUUGUCCUGUGUAUUUAUUGUCCUGUGUAUUUAUUGUUUUGUCCUGUGUAUUUAUUUUUUUGUCCUGUGUGGUUAUUGUAUUGCCCUGUGUAUUUAUUGUCCUGUGUUUAUUGUUUUGUCCUGUGUAUUUAUUGUUUUGUGUAUUUAUUGUUUUUUCCUGUGUGUGUAUUGUCCUGUGUAUUUAUUGUUUUGUGCUGUGUUUAUUGUUUUGUCAUUUUUAUUUAUUGUUUUGUCCUGUGUAUUUAUUGCCCUGUGUGUUUAUUGUUUUGUCCUGUGUGUUUGUUGUUUUGUCCUGUGUGUUUAUUGUUUUGUCCUGUGUGUUUAUUGUUUUGUCCUGUGUGUUUAUUGCCCUGUGUGUUUAUUGUUUUGUCCUGUGUGUUUGUUGUUUUGUCCUGUGUGUUUAUUGUUUUGUCCUGUGUGUUUAUUGUUUUGUCCUGUGUAUUUAUCAUCCUGUGUAUUUAUUGUAUUGUCCUGUGUGUUUGUUUAUUGUUUUGUCCUGUGUAUUUAUUGUUCUGUGUAUUUAUUGUCCUGUGUGUUUAUUGUUUUGUCCUGUGUGUUUAUUGUCUUGUGUGUUUAUUGUAUUGUCCUGUGUGUUUGUUUAUUGUAUUGUCCUGUGUAUUUAUUGUCCUGUAUUUUUAUUGUCCUGUGUAUUUAUUGUAUUGUCCUGUGUAUUUAUUGUAUUGUCCUGUGUGUUUGUUCAUUGUUUUGUCCUGUAUUUUUAUUGUCCUGUGUAUUUAUUGUUUUGUCCUGUGUAUUUAUUGUUUUGUCCUGUGUAUUUAUUGUUUUGUCCUGUGUAUUUAUCAUCCUGUGUAUUUAUUGUUUUGUCCUGUGUAUUUAUUGUUUUGUCCUGUGUAUUUAUUGUUCUGUGUAUUUAUUGUCCUGUGUAUUUAUUGUAUUGUCCUGUGUAUUUAUUGACUUCCCAUCGGAACUGCCCAGCCUACCGCGUUUGCAACAUCCUCAACUGAAGAUGUAGGAGCUGUAAACUCGAGUAUCUGGUGGACUGGGAUGGUACGGCCCAGAGGAGCAUUGCUGGAUCCCGUCCCAGGACAUUCUGGAACCAGACCUGCGCAGGGACUUCCAUGCCGUUCAAUCAUCUAGACCGAGAAUACAGAGGAGAGGGAGGCCUCGGAAGGAUUCGGCUCCCGGAGUGAGCCCUUUGCGGGGGGGGGGGGCGGCUCUGUCACAUCACGGCGAGUUCGCAACUACAGUUCCCAGAAGGCAGUGCCAACUACAAACAUGGCCGACGAGAACUACACUUCCCGACUAUGCACGCACUCACGUUCACCAGAAUACCGAGUGAGAACACCUGUCUCGCACCGUAGGUUAUACAAGGGCUCGUUAACUUCAGCGCCUCGCGAAGUAAACGCUCAGCUACCUUUCACCUGACGUUCACCAAGCCUUUGUUCAUGUUUUGGAUUUCUACGGUUUUUGGAGUUUUUGUUCUCGGAAUACGCUUCCUUGUAUAGCCCAGUCUGUAUUGUUCGCCCGAUCGCCGACCAACUGCUACCUUCUGCAUUUCGUCUUCCGCCUGAUCCCAGUAUUCUAAUCCUGUUAAUCCUGUUGCCUCCAACAAGCUAACGUAACAAUUGUCCUGUGUGUUUAUUGUUUUGUCCUUUUUAUUUAUUGUUUGUCCUGUGUGUUUAUUGUCCUGUGUGUUUAUUGUUUUGUCCUGUGUGUUUAUUGUUUUGUCCUGUGUAUUUAUUGUCCUGUGUAUUUAUUGUUUUGUCCUGUGUAUUUAUUGUUUUGUCCUGUGUAUUUAUUGUCCUGUGUAUUUAUUGUUUUGUCCUGUGUAUUUAUUGUCCUGUGUAUUUAUUGUUUUGUCCUGUGUGUUUAUUGUUUUGUCCUGUGUGUUUAUUGUUUUGUCCUGUGUAUUUAUUGUCCUGUGUAUUUAUUGUUUUGUCCUGUGUGUUUAUUGUCCUGUGUUUAUUGUUUUGUCCUGUGUGUUUAUUGUCCUGUGUUUAUUGUUUUGUCCUGUGUGUUUAUUGUCCUGUGUGUUUGUUGUUUUGUCCUGUGUGUUUAUUGUUUUGUCCUGUGUGUUUGUUGUUUUGUCCUGUGUGUUUAUUGUCCUGUGUGUUUGUUGUUUUGUCCUGUGUGUUUAUUGUAUUGUCCUGUGUAUUUAUUGUCCUGUGUGUUUGUUGUUUUGUCCUGUUGUUUUGUCCUGUGUGUUUAUUGUCCUGUGUUUAUUGUUUUGUCCUGUGUAUUUAUUGUCUUGUGUAUUGUGUGUUUAUUGUUUUGUCUAUUCAUUGUUUUGUCCUGUGUAUUUAUUGUCCUGUGUGUUUAUUGUAUUGUCCUGUGUAUUCAUUGUCCUGUGUGUUUGUUUUGUCCUGUGCGUUUGUUUUGUCCUGUGUAUUCAUUGUCCUGUGUAUUUACCGUUUUGUUCUGUGAAUUUUUUGUCCUAUUGUUUUGUCCUAUGUAUUUAUUGUCCUGUGUUUGUUGUUUUGUCUUGUGUAUUUUUUGUCCUGUGUAUUUGUCCCGUCCUGUGUAUUUAUUGUGCUGUGAAUGUAUUGUCUUGUGUAUUUACUGUUUUGUCCUGUGUAUUUAUCCAUCCAUCCAUCUUCUACCGCUUAAUCCUUCUUCAGGGUCACGGGGAACCUGGAGUCUAUCCCAGGAAGCAUCAGGCACAAGGCGGGGUACACCCUGGACAGGGUGCCAGUCCAUCGCAGGGCACACUCACAUACACACAUUCAUACAUUCAUUCCUGUGUGUUUAUUGUCCUGUGUGUUUAUUGUCCUGUGUGUUUAUUGUCCUGUGUGUUUAUUGUAUUGUCCUGUGUAUUUAUUGUUUUGUUUAUUUAUUGUCCUCGCUAUUUAUUGUUUUGUCCUGUGUAUUUAUUGUUUUGUCUUGUUUUUUAUUGUCCUUUGCGUUUGUUUUUUUCUUGUGUAAUUAUUGUCCUGUGUAUUUAUUGUCUUGUGUGUUAUUUU
ensembl:lncRNA